GCCUGGAUAGCUCAGUUGGUUAGAGUAUGGUGCUGAUAACACCAAUGUUGCAGAUCUGAUCCCUAUAUGGGACA
rnacentral:tRNA from 1 species